AGAAAAAUAAGCUAAAAUAAAAGCUUUUGGAUUCAUACUUCAAAUAUAGAAUAAUCUUCUUUUUUCUG
rnacentral:tRNA from 1 species